GAAGAAGAAGAAGAAGACGGCUUAGCUGGGUAUGGUGGCAUAUAUCUGUAAUCCCAACAGCUUGGAGGCUGAGACAAGAAGGAUCUCAAGUUUGAGGCCAGCCUCAAGAACUUAGCAAGACCCUGUCUCAAAAGAAAACAAAACAAAAAGCCAAGACUCAGAUUAACUAGGCCACAAUCACACAGCCAAUGAAUGGUGAGGCGGAUGGGGUUCUGUCUGGCCACGAUUUUCCCAUGUAGGGAGGCUUGGGGUAAUUCCCCCGCCCCCCUCUACUUUUUUAUACUUCCACAUUUUUAAAGGAUAAACAAAACUAACAUAGUAACUACACAAAUUAAAUAAAAUUAAGAAAGAGGCUAAGUAGCUCUUUUAUGUAUGGGCGUAAUGGCUUGAGAUGAAGAUAGGUAACAUGUCAUUAAGCUCAGUGUCUCCGGGCGUCUGCUGCCUUAUCUUUAAAAUGAGGGGCUCAAUUGAGAGCCCUCAAAGGCACUUUCCAGUUUUCAUUUUAGUCUUGUCUAUAGUUU
rnacentral:lncRNA from 1 species